rnacentral:rRNA from 1 species
UACGUAGGGGGCAAGCGUUGUCCGGAUUUAUUGGGUUUAAAGGGUGCGUAGGUGGUCAAUUAAGUCAGUGCUGAAAUAUCCCGGCUUAACCGGGAGGGUGGCAUUGAUACUGAUUGACUUGAGUGGAGUUGAGGUAGGCGGAAUUGACGGUGUAGCGGUGAAAUGCUUAGAUAUCGUCAAGAACACCGAUAGCGAAGGCAGCUUACCAAGCUCAGACUGACACUGAUGCACGAAAGUGUGGGGAGCAAACAGG